rnacentral:rRNA from 1 species
CCCUUAGAUGUUCUGGGCUGCACGCGUGUUACAAUCGGGAGUACAACAAGAUUGCAAAUCCUAGUGGAUGAGUGGUUCUUCGAAAUUUUCUGAAGACUGGGAUAGUUGAUUGAAAUUAUUCAACUCGAACGAGGAAUUCCUUGUAUUUGUAAUUCAUUAUAUUGUAAUGAAUACGUCCCUGCCCUUUGUACACACCGCCCGUCGCUCCUACCGAUUGAACGAUCCGGUGAAUUAUUUGGAGUAGCUCUGGAAGUUGCAGAACUUCCUAUGUCACGAAAUUUUGUAAACCUUAUCGUUUAGAGGAAGGAAAAGUCGUAACA